GACAGAAAUGAAGAACUCUGAUUGGUUGAUUCUUUUAUGCGUUAUGCAGAAAUCUGUGCUCAGGCCCGAAGAAUUCCCGCGUCUGUGUGUAACUGGCCUCAAAUAUUAGGUUGGGGAAAAAGAAAUCCAUUAUUUUUUCGUUAGCUGGCUUUAGUAGUAUAUAUCACGUGAUGUAUUAAUCGCAUAGGUUAAUAUUUAUACUCGUUGGAAAAGUGACAUUCCGGACUAAAAAAAAUUCUUUAACGGUUUAGUGAUUUGUCGAUUAAGUUGUGAGUUAUAGCACGUAAAAGAUGUACGUCAACAAAGAUAAAAUUCGGUAUAUUUUACAAUUUUGCUUCGAUAAAGGCGAAAAUGCAAGCCAGGCGGCUGAAAUUGUGAAUGGUGUUUAUGGUCCCGAUACUGUCACAGCCAAUCACGCGCAAUUUUGGUUUCGUCGAUUCCGUUCCGGUAAUUUUGAUGUUAAAGAUGCAUCUCGCACAGCUGGAUUCAAAAAAAAGCUCCAUGUUGGGUGCCACACAAAUUGACGCAAAAAAACAUGAUGGACCGAAUUUCAAUCUGCGAAGCCUUGACCAAACGGAACGAAAUCGAGCCAUUUCUGAAACGGAUGGUGACUGGGGAUGAGAAAUGGAUUACAUACGACAAUAUUGUGUGAAAACGAUCGUGGUCAAACCGCAGCAAAACGGUUCAAACGGUGGCCAAACCAGGAUUAACGGCCAGGAAGGUUUUGCUGAGUGUUUGGUGAAACUAUAAAAGAAUCAUUCACCAUGAGCUACUUUCAUAUGGCCAAACACUAAAUUCAGACUUCUAUUGUCAACAAUUGGACCGUUUGAAGCUAGCGAUCGACCAGAAGCGGCCAGAAUUGGUCAAUAGGAGAGAAAUUGUUUUUCAUCAGAAAAUGCCAGACCAUAUACGUGUAUAGUGACUCGUCAGAAACUCCGGGAGCUUGGUUGGGAAGUUUUGAUGCAUCCACCUUAUAGUCCGGACCUGGCACCAAGCGAUUACCAUCUGUUUUUGUCAUUGCAAAACUUCCUUGAUGGUAAGAAAUUAACCUCAAGAGAAGACUGUGAAAAUUGCUUAGUCGAGUUUUUUGCAAAUAAGGACCAGGGCUUCUAUGAAAGAGGGAUCAUGAAAUUACCUUUAAAAUAGCGACAAAUUGUAGAACAAAACGGUGCUUAUUUGACCAAAAUCGAACAAUCCUAACUAUGUUAAAUAAAGCUUUGAAAUAAACGAAAAAAA